UACGUAGGGGGCUAGCGUUGUCCGGAAUCAUUGGGCGUAAAGCGCGUGUAGGCGGUCCGGUAAGUCCGCUGUGAAAGUCGGGGGCUCAACCCUCGAAUGCCGGUGGAUACUGUCGGGCUAGAGUGCGGAAGAGGCGAGUGGAAUUCCUGGUGUAGCGGUGAAAUGCGCAGAUAUCAGGAGGAACACCGAUUGCGAAGGCAGCUCGCUGGGACGUUACUGACGCUGGAGACGCGAAAGCGUGGGGAGCAAACAGG
rnacentral:rRNA from 1 species